CAUAAGUUACUCCAGAGACCCCCUCGGAUCAGAUGGUACGGUCAUGCACCCCGGGUCGGAGCGGAUGGUACAGCCCGGUCGUGGCUCGGCCGCCGGUAAAGCUGGCGGGUCGGGGUCUCCGCUGAACAUCGUAUAUCCGGGUUCGGUGCCGUUAUUUAAGCGCCAACCACUCCGACAAGGCAGCGCCCGAUGAGAGACUUUAGACGGAGGACCUGCCAGCCGGGGUGAGUGGAGCUCCAUCCGAGAACAUCCAUGCUGUGAGAGGCAAUGAUCUUCGGCUGAGAGUCGGGGCAAACCGAGCUGAGCCGAACCGUGAUCGAGUCUUUGUGUCCGCACUUCGGCUCGUCUUACGUUUAUGCUGUCAGGGGGCUGAGGGAACACCUUUCGCAGAUGGUGGGUUGAAAUUGUAACUGCCUGCCCGAUUUAAUGUAUCAUUUAUACACUAUACAAAAAAAACACAAUCUUGUCAGUGUCCACCCCUAAUCCAAUCAAUGCAUAUCCUUCUGCUUUAAUUGCUUGUGUGACUUUAGUGGCUUCAGUGAGAGUAGGACUGCUGAAUCCAGGGCUUGUCCUGGAAUGUCCUGCAUCUGGGUC